UUAAACUGCUGAUUGGCAUGGGGACAAGAGCUAGCAGAGGUAACUUACUAACUAACAGGUGUGUGAGGGGCUGCCAAACAAAUAUGGCAACCUUUGUGCUGAGUUUAAAAACUGUUGUGGUCACUGGUCACGCUGAGAUCAACGUCAGUCUUUUAAAAAACAAAGUUUCUGAGCUAAGCAAGCAACCGCGCUAAUGCUAAACUAGCGCCUUUUCCACCGACUUUUGACUGGGGUAGCUCAUCAAGCUAGCUGACACUUGAUGACACGUCCCCGUGGAUAUCAACGGGACCAACGGGCGGAUCUCAACCGCUGCUGAUGAGCUGUUUCUCAGCAAACAGCCGUUUCCAGCGUCAAUGGACUGAAAUACUUAACUGCUGUGAUAGUCGCCACUCAGCAUCAUGAGGAAGCUUCUGCAGGGAGCCAUAACUGCCGCCAAAGGCCUUUAAAUCCUCCAUUUGAUGGCUUGAGGAUUCGGCAGGAGGAUUCGAAAAGGAUGAAGAGAAGAAAAUUGCACAUCCUUAAGAAAACAAAGAGCAUUUCCUUCCCUGUGUCAGGAUGAAAAAGGGAGAAGAGGGGGAAAAAAAGAGAAAUACAUACUAAUUCAUCAUUGGCUUUUACUGCUCCUUGAUGGUCCAUAACUCACUUUGACCAUGAUUCCCUUUCCCCUUCAUACUUUCGGAUUCACAAUCCACUACGCCAUGUUUUAAUGACCAUAUUAUAGGCAAUUCUACACUGUCCAAUAAAAGGUUUACACUUUGAACUGUGA